rnacentral:rRNA from 1 species
AACGAACGCUGGCGGCGCGCCUAAUACAUGCAAGUCGAGCGAGAAGGUGUAGCAAUACACUUGUAAAGCGGCGAACGGGUGAGGAAUACAUGGGUAAUCUACCAUCGAGUGGGGAAUAACCAACCGAAAGGUUGGCUAAUACCGCGUACGCCUCCGAGUCUUCGGGUUCGGAGGGAAAGCUGCACUGUGAGUGUAGCGCUCUUUGAUGAGCUCAUGUCCUAUCAGCUUGUUGGUAGGGUAACGGCCUACCAAGGCUUUGACGGGUAGCUGGUCUGAGAGGACGAUCAGCCACACUGGCACUGCGACACGGGCCAGACUCCUACGGGAGGCAGCAGUAAGGAAUAUUGCGCAAUGGGCGAAAGCCUGACGCAGCGACGCCGCGUGGGGGAUGAAGGUCUUCGGGUUGUAAACCUCUUUCAGCAGGGACGAAGGGUGACUGACGGUACCUGUAGAAGAAGCACCGGCCAACUACGUGCCAGCAGCCG